rnacentral:lncRNA from 1 species
GGACCAUCGCCGAGCCAGACGUGCACGUACUCUCGCAGCCAGCUCGAGACACACUCAUUCCUUAGUUGAGGCUCGAGCCGCGCGGACCGCCGCUCACUGUCGUCGCUCUGCUCACGCUCUCUGUGUUUGCGCGUAUUGUAAUAUCGUACAUCGCAAUCCGAGUCUCGGCAGCGCUUCUUUCCGUACACCGAAUCGUACAGUAUACAGUUUAUACGCGAGUGCUACGCUACAGUGCGAUACGUGUAUUCGUUCAUCCGCAACAUAUAUGCACGCACGUGAGACUGCAGCGGUGUGCAACCUUCGCUGUUAAGCUCGUUAGCCCUGACAGGAGUGUAGCUGCAACCAAGCGAUCCGGUUACUCUUCGUCCAUCUCUCUCUCUCUCUCUCUCUCUCUCUCUCUCUCUCUCUCUCUCUCUCUCUCUCUCUCUCUCUCUCUCUCUCUCUCUCUCUCUCUCUCUCUCGCGCGCGCUCUCGCGCAAGUCUACAUCAGUCCGUGCACAGUGUCAAGUUUACGCGCGUGCGCGAAGAUGCGCUCGCGGAUGCACCCCGAUGGCUGCUGCUGAGUGCAUCGUCGUCUUGGGAAUCAGAGUCCGGCCGUUGGAGUGACCCGUGGGAAGGACUGCGCGGCCAGAAAAGGAGCAGACGAGAAGAGCAUCGAACGCAGGGAAAGAAAUAUUGGACAGAUACACACGCAUACAAGCAUAUAGAUACUCGUCGCGCGCCGUCGCACACUGCACGGUGAAGUGACGUUACCUAACCUCAUCCGGCGCGGCGCACCUAACCUCAACCGAGAGCCGCUCCAGCGACGUGUUGAGCGGGCCGAGUACCCCUCGCUCCUCAGCAGACGAAAAUUCAGUGAAGCGACUCUUUUUUUCCGUCGUUGAGAGUGAUACACGCGGAUACAGUGGAUUGCACGCGUACACGUACACGCCGCGAGGAGUGUAUCGCAGUGCGCGAGGCAGUGGAUUCUGGUGGUAAGAGUUUUGGUUCGAAUCGCUAAGAUUGAGCAGCGGGCAACCAUGUUCCGAGCGUACGGGACUGCGCCACCGGAAACGGCGACCACCGCUGAUCUCUACACCUGGAAUUCGCCAAUUUACAACAAAGGUGAGUUACGGUCGUAGCGUUUCACUCCCGGCGCAGUAAAUCCUCGACUCGUUACGUAAGCUUUAUCGUAGUGCUUAAUCCGCCUGUACAUUAAGUAAAUCCCUGUAAACUCCUAAUAAAAUAACCGCCCUAUCCAUACCUGCCGGCACCGGAAAAUGAAAAAAAAACAUGAAGUGCUAACUUUCUAAAUUCCAAACACUGCGGUUCACUCGAUAUUUCGCGCAUCAAAGAACCGCAAAAAUCUCGUCUCCCCAAAACGAGUUGUAUCGAGGGGAUUAGCACAAAAUUACAGCGCGGCAACGCUACAAUCGAUAAUGCAUGCGCAUCUGGCUUUGACGGACAGAAGUGGGACGUGUCGAGAGAGAAAAAGAGAGGGGGGGGGGGCGUCACAGGAUCGAGAGAAACAAUCGUCAGAGAGGGGACGGACAGGAGACACGCAGGAUUAUCAGCGAUCUUGCGGCUGCACGCGGUAAACGCCUCUAAGGUUUCAUCCUGUGCGAGGUGACGCAACCGAAACGCUAGGAACUUCUCCCCUUACUCGGAUGGAGAGAGUAGGUGCAUGACUCUUCUUUCGUGAGCUUCGUAUGCUAUAUCCCUUUUUCUUCCUCACGCGGACGUCCUGUUAGAGGGGUUGUAAAUAUUUAUUUUAAUAAUGUGGUUGAAAACUUAAUACAGGAUAAUGUAUGAAGAAGAAAAGAUUAAAUUUAAUACAUAAUAAUUCCUUGUA